CUUGAGAUGGCUCAGGGGUUAAGAGCACUGGCUGCUUUUCCAGAGGUUCUGAGUUCAAUUCCCAGUCACCAUG
rnacentral:tRNA from 1 species